CUCUUCCCCAUCUCGUCGCGGACGUCGUUGGCUCAUCCAUGCUGCCCAAGUCGCCGUCCCCGUCCGCUGCCGCCAUCGGCCUCUCCUUACUCGUCGCCGCCCUAGACGUUCGCCGCACAUCUCCCUCGCCCUCGAUUCGCCGCCCCGUCGCCCUCACCGACGAUCUGCCCCGUCACCCUCCGCUCCAGCCAGUAAUACAUUGUCGUCCGCACCUCCCUCUCCGUCUUUCCUCCUCGUCACCCACGGCCACGACCGCCACGCACACGGACAACUGCGGCAGCAGCCACGCACACGCACACGAACAUUCAACUAGGGUCAUUUUUCCCGAAAUGACGGACAACGGCAUGCACCGUGGUGUUUUCCAAAGACCCUGGGUGAAGAGGGGAGUCCAAAU